rnacentral:tRNA from 10 species
AAGGCUUUAGCUUAAUUAAAGUGUUUGUUUUGCAUACAAAAGAUGUGGGUUAGUGUCCUGCAAGUCUUA